rfam:Schistosoma rodhaini strain Burundi genome assembly, scaffold: SROB_scaffold0007205
ACCCACAUGACGAGUCCCAAAUAGGAUGAAACGCCUGUCCUGCAU